GGAAAAGUCUACCAGAAAGAGAUUUUCCAACCGUAUAAUACCCAAUGGAAAAAGUCUCCCACUAUUUCCAACUAAACCCUAGCCUCCUUACUCACAAAACAUAUUUCUUUUCUUUCUUCCACCUGCACGACCCAGAGCCUCCUUUACUCACAAUCCUAGAUGUUCUUAUUGUUUUCAAACCAUAAACUAUUAUCCCAAAUUCUCCAAUUCAUUCAUCCACUAUUAUUCCAAAUUCAACACAGUAAAACAAUCCUUACAUAAACUAACAAGGCAAAUUGCUAGAUGUUCUUAUUGUUUUUGUAGAUCGGAACAAAGAAAGGGGAAAGAAAGUUUCACAAAUCCGACGGAGCUCCAGUGUAACGCAGGCUUCAACACCACACGGAACCGGAGUCGUUCUGGCCACCGGAGUCGCAACCCCCGUUCAUGACGUCGAAAGGAGUCGGCCGAGCAUCCGCGACGAUCAGACGCAUCACCGCGAACACCACCACACAACCGCCUUGCUACGGCGUGAACUCUUCCGCUACUGUCAAGUUCUAACAUCCAGGGAUUUGUCAAAAUUAUACAUAAUGGAUAUGGCACUGUGAAGUAGUAGCAAAGUCAAAUGUGUCCCAAAGAGAUAAUGUUAGUGUAGAAAUGGAUGAUCGUCCGGAAGACAUGAUGCGUGAUAUUGGACAAGAUUCGUUUAAGAGGGCACAUGCGUAUUCAUGGGUAAGUUUUUAUGAAAUUCUGGAAAACAGAGUUUGAAAACAGAGUUUGCCACGAAGAUAAGUUAAUGUUGGAAACCAGAGUUUGCCACUUACUACCACUUAUUCACGGACAACAUUGGCAAUUAAUAGUCAUGUGUCCAAGAGACAAUAUUGUGGUCGUCUUUUGUUCACUUCAUCGGGAUACUGAUAAAGCCACGAAGAAAAUUAUUACAACGUAUUUGAUGAUCCUACAGAAUUAACACAAGAAGAUUUGUAUAAUUUGCGACUCCAUUGGACAAAAUGUUUCUUUGAGUUAUAUAAAGAAUAACUUUAUGUUUCUCGUGGAUGCAUGUUGGUUUUUCAAGUGCGCGAAAGGACUUAAAUGGUUGGAUAUUUGUUGUGUUGUUAUUUUGUAGUAGAAAACCGUGUGUGAACCUUUCUUAUCAUUUUGUACACUUGUGUAUCCUAUAUUAAUACUUUUGUAUAUUUUGACGAAUAUAUAUAUGCAUCUUAGCUAUUUGGUGCAAUUAAAUGUGGUCUGUGUGCUGUGGGAAAAAUGAGCAAAAUAGCGACCUAACUUUGGUUUGUGUGGUAUUUGAAUCUUAUAUGGAAAAUUAGGUACAAAAAAAAUUACAGGUUAAAAUAGGAAGAAUAGGAAAAAGAAUAGGAAAA